UACGAAGGGAGCUAGCGUUGUUCGGAAUCACUGGGCGUAAAGCGCACGUAGGCGGAUGUGUCAGUCAGGGGUGAAAUCCCGGAGCUCAACUUCGGAACUGCCCUUGAUACAGCACGUCUUGAGUCCGGAAGAGGUGGGUGGAAUUCCCGGUGUAGCGGUGAAAUGCGCAGAUAUCGGGAAGAACACCCGUGGCGAAGGCGGUUCUCUGGGACGGUACUGACGCUGAGACGCGAAAGCGUGGGGAGCGAGCAGG
rnacentral:rRNA from 1 species